rnacentral:lncRNA from 1 species
CGAUGACAUGGUUUUGAAGAAGAGGAGAAAAUCAAUGAUGAUGAUCAAGCUGAGGAUGAAGUUGUUGUAAUUAAAGAUGAUGGGGAGGAGCUUGCUGCCAAUGGUGGAGACAAUGGUGAAUAUUUUGUUCUUGAUGGUGGUGACAAUGAAGGGCCUCAGGAACCUAGUGAAAAUUGAUGAUUUUGGACCAACAAAUGGCCUAAGAUUGAUUGAGUAAGUUUUACCUGAAAUUUUUGUGUUUUUUAAUCUUUUCCAACUUGGUUUUAUCAUCUGGAAAGUGAACCAUAUAGGCAUUGUAGUCUUUUUUUCUUUGUACUUCUUGGUUGUUGAAUUGUCUUUAAUUUGAUCUUGCAUGUCUAAGAUUUGGAAUAUUUUUCUUAUCCCCAACUAGAAUCUACAAGUCAUUUUUUUAAGAUUGUUUUUUGCGUUGUAAAGAAGUAUGAGACCCGUUAU